rnacentral:rRNA from 1 species
GACGAACGCUGGCGGCGUGCUUAACACAUGCAAGUCGAACGGAAAGGCCUCAGCUUGCUGGGGUACUCGAGUGGCGAACGGGUGAGUAACACGUGGGUGAUCUGCCUUGCACUCUGGGAUAAGCUUUGGAAACUGGGUCUAAUACCGGAUAUGAACUGCCUUUAGUGUGGUGGUUGGAAAGUUUUUUCGGUGCAAGAUGAGCUCGCGGCCUAUCAGCUUGUUGGUGGGGUAAUGGCCUACCAAGGCGUCGACGGGUAGCCGGCCUGAGAGGGUGUACGGCCACAUUGGGACUGAGAUACGGCCCAGACUCCUACGGGAGGCAGCAGUGGGGAAUAUUGCACAAUGGGCGGAAGCCUGAUGCAGCGACGCCGCGUGGGGGAUGACGGCCUUCGGGUUGUAAACUCCUUUCGACAGGGACGAAGCUUUUUGUGACGGUACCUGUAUAAGAAGCACCGGCUAACUACGUG